rnacentral:rRNA from 1 species
AUUGAACGCUGGCGGCAUGCCUUACACAUGCAAGUCGAACGGUAACAGGUCUUCGGAUGCUGACGAGUGGCGAACGGGUGAGUAAUACAUCGGAACGUGCCCGAGAGUGGGGGAUAACGAGGCGAAAGCUUUGCUAAUACCGCAUAAGAUCUCAGGAUGAAAGCAGGGGACCGCAAGGCCUUGCGCUCACGGAGCGGCCGAUGGCAGAUUAGGUAGUUGGUGGGAUAAAAGCUUACCAAGCCGACGAUCUGUAGCUGGUCAGAGAGGACGACCAGCCACACUGGGACUGAGACACGGCCCAGACCCCUACGGGAGGCAGCAGUGGGGAAUUUUGGACAAUGGGCGCAAGCCUGAUCCAGCCAUGCCGCGUGCAGGAUGAAGGCCUUCGGGUUGUAAACUGCUUUUGUACGGAACGAAAAGACUCCUUCUAAUAAAGGGGGUCCAUGACGGUACCGUAAGAAUAAGCACCGGCUAACUACGUGCCAGCAGCCGCCGUAAGAC